UUAAGUUCAGCGGGUAUCCCUACCUGAUCCGAGGUCAAAAGUGAUAAAUGGGCUUAAUGGACGCCGCUGUAAUGGAGGUCGAGAGCGCAAAUUGUGCUGCGCUCCCAGGCCAAUACGCCGGCUGCCAAUUGCUUUGAGGCGAGUCCACACGCGGAGGCGGGACAAACACCCAACACCAAGCAGAGCUUGAGGGUACAAAU
rnacentral:misc_RNA from 1 species